ensembl:snoRNA SNORD115 Small nucleolar RNA SNORD115
GAGUCGAUGAUGCGACCUCAUACUGUCUUGAAGAGUGAUAAUGACUUUAAAAAUCAUGCUCAAUGAGAUUAUGCUGAAGCUC